GCCGAAUUAGUAUAGUGGUAGAACAAAUCCAUGGUAAGGAUUAGAUGCAAGUUCGAUUCUUGCAUUCGGCACCA
rnacentral:tRNA from 1 species